rnacentral:tRNA from 1 species
UGCCCCCGUAGUCUAGCUCGGAUAAGAUUGCACUCUCUCUAAGUGCCAGACACGGGUUCGAAUCCCGUCGGGGGCGU